GCGGCGGCGGGCGGCACGGCCGGGGCCGCCUGCGGCGCUACGGGCGCCGCCGCGGGCGCGCCCGCGUACGGGUUCUGUCCUGGCGGCGGCG
rnacentral:tRNA from 1 species